AUCGAAUGCUGGCGGCAGGCCUAACACAUGCAAGUCGAUCGGAGCGGCGGACGGGUGAGUAACGCAUAGGAAUCUGUCUGGUAGUGGGGGAUAACGUCCGGCCACGGGCGUUAUUACCGCGUACUAUCAGAUGAGCCUAGGUCGGAUUAGCUAGUUGGUGUGGUAAAGGCCUACCAAGUCGACGAUCCGUAACUGGUCUGAGAGGAUGAUCAGUCACACUGGAACUGAGACACGGGCCAGACACCUACGGCAGGCAGCAGUGGGAAGUAUUAGACCAAGGGCGAAUGCCAGCGCAAGCGAUGACGCGUAUGUGAAGAAGGUCUUCGGAUUGAAAAGCACUUUAAGUUGGGAAGCGUUACCAGCAGAGUAAGCACAGGCACACUUCAUGCCAGCAGCCGCGGUAAUAC
rnacentral:rRNA from 1 species